rnacentral:rRNA from 1 species
GAUGAACGCUGGCGGCGUGCCUAAUACAUGCAAGUCGAGCGAACAGACGAGGAGCUUGCUCCUCUGACGUUAGCGGCGGACGGGUGAGUAACACGUGGAUAACCUACCUAUAAGACUGGGAUAACUUCGGGAAACCGGAGCUAAUACCGGAUAAUAUAUUGAACCGCAUGGUUCAAUAGUGAAAGACGGUUUUGCUGUCACUUAUAGAUGGAUCCGCGCCGCAUUAGCUAGUUGGUAAGGUAACGGCUUACCAAGGCAACGAUGCGUAGCCGACCUGAGAGGGUGAUCGGCCACACUGGAACUGGGACACGGUCCAGACUCCUACGGGAGGCAGCAGUAGGGAAUCUUCCGCAAUGGGCGGAAGCCUGACGGAGCAACGCCGCGUGAGUGAUGAAGGUCUUCGGAUCGUAAAACUCUGUUAUUAGGGAAGAACAAAUGUGUAAGUAACUAUGCACGUCUUGACGGUACCUAAUCAGAAAGCAACGGCUAACUACGUG